CGUGUAUGAUGUCCACAGAGGCAUCAUCAGCUCUUUGCUGUACCCGCUGAUGAACUCCACAUGAUGAAGCAAACUGUAUUGAGUGUCAAACAUCACAGCUGGACGACCAAACGGGAGGAUUUUGAAAUAAGAACGCAAACAAGCCUCAGCAGCGAAGAGUAUGCAGAGUGCAGCAAUACGAGCAUCGAGUCUGCUGUCCGCCAGCUUUGCAAAGCGAUGAGCCCUGCAAUCAUCAUGAUAUUGGAAUUGAUGCAGAGGCCAUUCUGCAGGAGUUUGAUGCAACAGGGAGAAGCACAAUGAACUUCAAAUAGGUGUCACACCCACCUCACUGCUGAGAGGACCCAGACGAUGUCCGAAGGUAUCAGGCUGCUCCGAGUGAACGGCGUAAACGUACGGUCUGAGGAUUGACAACAUAGAC